rnacentral:rRNA from 1 species
AGAUUGAACGCUGGCGGCAUGCCUAACACAUGCAAGUCGAACGGGAGUAGCAAUACUCUAGUGGCGGACGGGUGAGGAAUACGUAGGAAUUUGCCCUUAAGUGGGGGAUAACCCGGGGAAACCCGGAUUAAUACCGCAUGACCUCGAAAGAGCAAAGUGGGGGAUCGCAAGACCUCACGCUUUUGGAGAAGCCUACGUCGGAUUAGCUAGUUGGUGAGGUAAUGGCUCACCAAGGCGACGAUCCGUAACUGGUCUGAGAGGAUGAUCAGUCACACCGGAACUGAGACACGGUCCGGACUCCUACGGGAGGCAGCAGUGGGGAAUAUUGGACAAUGGGCGCAAGCCUGAUCCAGCAAUGCCGCGUGUGUGAAGAAGGCCUUCGGGUUGUAAAGGCUACUUUAAACGUUGGAAAGAAAAACUCGACUACUAACACAAGUGAGUCUUGACGGUACCGACAAGAAUAAGACAACCGGACUAACCUCGUCGCCGAGACAGCCGACGGUAAUACGUCGA